rnacentral:rRNA from 1 species
AGAGUUUGAUCAUGGCUCAGGAUGAACGCUGGCUGUGUGCCUAAUACAUGCAUGUUGAACGAAGCUAAAAGUGCUUGCACUUUAAGACUUAGUAGCGAAUGGGUGAGUAACACGUACUUAACCUACCCCCAAGUUUGGGAUAACGUUUGGAAACGCACGCUAAUACCGAAUACGUAUUUUUAUCGCAUGAUGGAAAUAUAAAAGGAGCUUCGGCUUCGCUAGGGGAUGGGAGUGCGCUACAUUAGUUAGUUGGUAGGGUAAUGGCCUACCAAGACUAUGAUGUAUAGCGGGGCCGAGAGGCUGAUCCGCUACACUGGGACUGAGAUACGGCCCAGACUCCUACGGGAGGCAGCAGUAGGGAAUUUUCCACAAUGAACGAAAGUUUGAUGGAGCGACACAGCGUGCAGGAUGAAGGUCUUCGGAUCGUAAACUGCUGUUAUAAGGGAAGAAAAACUUUAGUAGGUAAUGACUAGAACUUGACGGUACCUUAUCAGAAAGCGACGGCUAACUAUGUGCCAGCAGCCGCGGUAAU